rnacentral:rRNA from 1 species
UACGUAGGGGGCAAGCGUUGUCCGGAAUCAUUGGGCGUAAAGCGCGUGUAGGCGGCUCGGUAAGUCUGCUGUGAAAGCCCAGGGCUCAACCCUGGGAUGCCGGUGGAUACUGUCGAGCUCGAGUCCGGAAGAGGCGAGUGGAAUUCCUGGUGUAGCGGUGAAAUGCGCAGAUAUCGGGAAGAACACCCGUGGCUAAGGCGGCUCUCUAGUACGGUACUGACGCUGAGACGCGAAAGCGUGGGGAGCGAACAGG